rnacentral:lncRNA from 1 species
GAUUUAUCUGACUCAACUGGAGAUGGCUCCCUUCCCUUAUUUAUUGUUGCAUCCUGAAGCUUCCCCCAUGCUGGGCUCAGUGUGAACAAACAGCGCGGGAGAAUGCAACCACUGCAGAGGCAUAUGUUUGAGAUACCUGGCCACUGGAGGUCAUCUCGUCUACUAUAUUCACCGCAGAUAAAGAAUGAAAAGAGAAUACACAACCUUGUGAUUGCUAGCAGUGAAAGCUCAGAGUUAUGACAUAACAGAAUUGGCUCAUGUGACUAUGGAGGCUGAGAUGUCCCAAGAGCUGGAUACCCAGGAGAAGCAAAGAGUGGUUGAUCAUACUGUAAAACUCAAAUGUGAAGGGAAGGCUGGAACCUACUGGAAACUGAAGAUCUAACGAAAAGAAGGAACUUUUAGGAACUAGCAGAG